rnacentral:rRNA from 1 species
AUUGAACGCUGGCGGCAGGCUUAACACAUGCAAGUCGAGCGAGCGGCGGACGGGUGAGUAAGGUCUGGGAAACUGCCUGAUGGAGGGGGAUAACUACUGGAAAAGGUAGCUAACACCGCAUAACACCAGAUGUGUCGAGACGGGAGUAGGUAGUAGGUGGGGGAAUGGCUAACCUAGGCGACGAUCCCUAGCUGGGCUGAGAGGAUGACCAGCCACCCGUGAACUGAGAAACGGUCCAGACUCCUACGGUGGGCAGGAGUGGGGAAUAUUGCACAAUGAGCGAAAGCCUGAUGCAGCCAUGCCGCGUGAGGGAAGAAGGCCUUCGGGUUGUAAAGCGCUUUCAGCUAGGAGGCGUUACUCGCAGAGUAGGCACCGGCUAACUCCGUGCCAGCCGCCGCGGUAAUAC